GAGUUUGAUCAUGGCUCAGAUUGRACGCUGGCGGCAGGCCUAACACAUGCAAGUCGAGCGGUAACAUUUCUAGCUUGCUAGAAGAUGACGAGCGGCGGACGGGUGAGUAAUGCUUGGGAACAUGCCUUUAGGUGGGGGACAACCAUUGGAAACGAUGGCUAAUACCGCAUAAUGUCUACGGACCAAAGGGGGCUUCGGCUCUCGCCUUUAGAUUGGCCCAAGUGGGAUUAGCUAGUUGGUGAGGUAAUGGCUCACCAAGGCGACGAUCCCUAGCUGGUUUGAGAGGAUGAUCAGCCACACUGGAACUGAGACACGGUCCAGACUCCUACGGGAGGCAGCAGUGGGGAAUAUUGCACAAUGGGCGCAAGCCUGAUGCAGCCAUGCCGCGUGUGUGAAGAAGGCCUUCGGGUUGUAAAGCACUUUCAGUUGUGAGGAAAGGUUAGUAGUUAAUACCUGCUAGCUGUGACGUUAGCAACAGAAGAAGCACCGGCUAACUCCGUGCCAGCAGCCGCGGUAAUACGGAGGGUGCGAGCGUUAAUCGGAAUUACUGGGCGUAAAGCGUACGCAGGCGGUUUGUUAAGCGAGAUGUGAAAGCCCCGGGCUCAACCUGGGAACUGCAUUUCGAACUGGCAAACUAGAGUGUGAUAGAGGGUGGUAG
rnacentral:rRNA from 1 species